GCAAGUCGAACGGUAACAUUAGUGCUUGCACUAGAUGACGAGUGGCGAACGGGUGCGUAACGCGUAUACAACUUACCUCUUAUUAAGGAAUAGCUCAGAGAAAUUUGAAUUAAUACCUUAUAAUAUCUUAAAAUCGCAUGGUUUAAAGAUUAAAGUUUUUCGAUAAGAGAUGGGUAUGCGUGAUAUUAGCUAGUUGGUAAGGUAACGGCUUACCAAGGCAACGAUAUCUAGGGGGUCUGAGAGGAUGAUC
rnacentral:rRNA from 1 species